rnacentral:rRNA from 1 species
AUGAACGCUGGCGGCGUGCCUAAUACAUGCAAGUCGAGCGAACGGACGAGAAGCUUGCUUCUCUGAUGUUAGCGGCGGACGGGUGAGUAACACGUGGAUAACCUACCUAUAAGACUGGGAUAACUUCGGGAAACCGGAGCUAAUACCGGAUGAUAUUUUGAACCGCAUGGUUCAAAAGUGAAAGACGGUCUUGCUGUCACUUAUAGAUGGAUCCGCGCUGCAUUAGCUAGUUGGUAAGGUAACGGCUUACCAAGGCAACGAUGCAUAGCCGACCUGAGAGGGUGAUCGGCCACACUGGAACUGAGACACGGUCCAGACUCCUACGGGAGGCAGCAGUAGGGAAUCUUCCGCAAUGGGCGAAAGCCUGACGGAGCAACGCCGCGUGAGUGAUGAAGGUCUUCGGAUCGUAAAACUCUGUUAUUAGGGAAGAACAUAUGUGUAAGUAACUGUGCACAUCUUGACGGUACCUAAUCAGAAAGCCACGGCUAACUGCGUG